CAAAGAGCUCAGUCGAGGAGUCUACAGAGUAGCUCUCUUUAGGGGAAUUUUGCUUCCCUCUCAGGCUGUCCUGCGGCUUAAGUCCAUAUGGAUGAGCCUAUUGGGAGAAAAUCUAGACUGUAUGCCCUGGGGAUCUGGGGCUCCAUCACCCAGACUCAAUCUCUGGAUGAUUCUGCUCUCAGCUGAAAGGAACCUAUGGAGACCAGUGCCCACAGAUUGGAGUAACUAGGUCUGUGUGGCAGCCGUGAAAGUGCCUGGCUCACAUCUCCUUUCAAGAGAACCUGCUGUGAGGAGAGAAUUGGCUGAUAGGUCCCAGCUGCUGCACCUCAGUCUGCUAUGAGCAAACGCAAUGAGCUGGGUAACUUGUGACACAUGUUCACCUAUGGAGGACCAAACACUCGAUGGAGCUGGGUUUUCAGCUCAGCCCCACCACCUCUUUGGGCCUGAAGAGCUGGGACACUCUCUGGUGAGGGGCCGGUGACAAGUUGGUACCUCAUGACUACUGGUGUGAUCAGCACACAUUUGAAGGAUGAGAAGCUGGGGCCAUUGAGUAGCAACUUCCUUGCCUGGAGCCAAACUGUGUGCUCAACCCCACCAGGCUAGCCAUGUAGAUAGAGGCAGACAGGGAAAGACUUGGAUGUCAGGGGACAGUUUUUAUUGAUCUGAACUGUAUCCACACUUCACUGUUAAAAGUGGGCAGCCAGCGAGGCUCUGAAACAGAGUAGUGUCCACAGUUGUUGAGGCAGGUGUCAUCAGUGUUUUGUAUUCAUUAUCUCUAGUUGUCACAGCCACGCUGCGCAUUCCCACUGAGCAGCUCAAGAAACAAGAGAGGCUCAGGGAAGCUGAGACUCUACAUGGAUUGGUCUGAUUCUAAAACCUAAAUUCCCAAUCACAAUCCUUCUGAGAUUAAUGGAGCACAAAUGUGGAGGGAGAAAGCAGCUGACCCCAGAACACACUGUACUGAGGGGGAAAUGGCAAAGAAGAUGCCAGAGGCUCUGAGUUUAGUGAGUGAUGAGAGGAAUUCAGAGGAUGAGGAGUCCUCAGGAAUGGGAAGCCUGGAGGCCUUCAGCUCCUCAGAGCAGACUCCAUACUCCCAGUCUGAAUGCUAAGGCUGCACCAUUCACUGAUUUAGAAGUUUGCAUCAGGGUUCACUCCUCACUAAACUGCUCCUUGUUUCCAAGAGAACCGAAGGUAGAUUUAUGGU
ensembl:lncRNA CHST14 carbohydrate sulfotransferase 14